rnacentral:lncRNA from 1 species
GGCGCCACGCGGACUGAGCCGCUGGAUAGGAGCCGAAGAGGCGCCAGUCCCGGCCUGGCCUAUCUCCCAGCCGAGAGGCCCCAGGGCAGGGUGGGGCGCGGAGGAGCGCAGGAAAGCCUCUCCCCUUCCCAGGGUCUGGAUCUGGUCUUACCGAUUGGGAAGCCCCAGGAGUCCGGGCUGGGGAGGGGAGUUAAGGGCAGGAAGGGGGUCUGGAAGGAAACUCAGGCCUCAGCCUCUCCCGCGUGGUCCUCCUCCCUUCCCGGACACACACAGGGCCAGCAGCCUUCCCUGGCACCCAGCCCCAUCCACCGCGUGGCAUCCGGCCCUUUCACACCCCCUCCAAAGCCCUCUCCGGCCCUGCCUUUUGGGCUGCGCCCGUUCUCUUCCUGUUCCACGGGGCGCUCUUACUCGCCCCUGUGCCUUUGCACACGCUGUUCCCUGCACCUGGACUGCCUUCUCUGCAACCGCUCUUCUCUCUGGGAGACUCCGGAGUCUCCUACCCAGAUACAGAGCAGUCCCUUCCGGAACGCCUUCUCUACCACCAGCUCCACUCUAAGCCACUUUCCGGCCUCAUCGGACCAGGAACCAAAGCGUGCGCGCUGGACUUGUCACUUGCACUUAAAGGGCUUUGAGGCGGGGAACCGCACAGGGCUGAGCGCGGAGUGGGCAGGUCCCUCGCCUCUGUGGGAAUCAAGAGACACUGGGCGGGGUAGAGGGGGCACAGCGUGGGAGGGAAGGAGGAGUGUGGGGCUCCGGGCUCUGCCUGCCCCAGGUUGGGGCUGAGAAGUGGGGCGUCCGGAACUGCGAACCACCCUGGUGCUGGCGCCCCCUCCCCUCCCCGUCCUCCUCCAGCCGCUGGGGCGCGGGCGGCUGCCCAGGGGCUGUGCUCAUUCGGCGGCGGAAACGCAAGAACCCCAAUUGCGGCCCCCGCGCCCCGCCUCGCCUCCCUGGAGUCAGAGCUAGCGCCGCCGCCCUCCCGACGCCCGGCUUCUCCAGGCUGAGCUCCGCCGGAGGGAGGCGCAGGCGCUUUGCAGGUCUGGGGACCUGGGAGACAAGAGCGCCUGGACUAGAUUAGCGGCUUCGGAGGCGCCGAGGGGUCUAGGUUCAAAGCGGUUAAGCACACAGUCCCAGCGAGUGUGGAUUGCUUUGUUCAGAUCUGACCCCCCCCGCCCCCCCCAGGUGCAGGUUAUUUUGGGUGAGCCUCACGCACUCUGGGAUGGACCUCAGACCUCACCGCUCUAAGGUGGGGCCUCAGACAAGUGGCCAUCCAGCAGAUCCUUGGUUCCUCCCGGUAAUAAGGCUCUCACUACCUAUUACUACUAACAAAAGUUCUUAAAUUAUCACCCCCCUGGCUCAUUUAUUCAUUCAGCAGAUGUUUACCAAGCACCUACUGUGUACUGGUUUAGAUAAAUAUCCGUGACAAAAAACCAAGCCUUUUGGUUGAUGCUCCAGGAUUCUUCUGAGUGUGUGGGUUGCUUACUCCUGGAAGCCCUCCAAGCUCUGCCCUCUGCCUUAAGCCCAAGCCUGUCUUCUUUGCUCUAGUACCCCUAGCUUUCCCCUCAUCAGCACUGAUCACACCCCCACUUUCUUAACCCAGAAAAGGUGGAACCCCUUCUGGUUGGGACUUGACCAAGGCUUUUGCUGAUGACUAGUUCACCAACCGCCAGUGAAAGCUGAAUCCGGAGCUUUGAAAAAUUCCCUCAGCUUCCAGCUCUCACUGGAGCGAGGCUGGUCCAGGGGAAACCCGGCUCCUGUGUGGCACAGCCCCGAGCACAGGUAUCAUGGGCAAAGCAAGUGUGGUACGGGAAGCCAGGACUCCAGGAGCUGCCUGUCUGAGAUUAAGUCCAAAAGUCAGAAGCCCUGGAGCCCCACCUAUGAAGAAGGAGAUGGGCAUGUGUUUUUGUUUUUUGGAGGUUUUUUUGUUUUUUUGUUUUUGUCCUUUUAGGGCUGCACCUGUGACAUAUGGAGGUUCCCAGGAGAGGGGUGGAAUUGGAGCUGUAGCCCCUGGCCUACGCCACAGCCACAGCAACUCGGGAUCCGAGCUGCAUCUGCACCCUACACCACAGCUCACAGCAACACCAGAUCCUUAACCCACUGAGCGAAGCCGGAGAUCAAACCUGUACCCUCAUGGAUGCUAGUCAGAUUUGUUUCUGCUGAGCCAGGACAGGAACUCCCGGGCAUGUGUCUUAACACGGGUAGUGCUGAGAAUGGGGGGAGGGGGGACAAGGAGAGCAGCUGCGUAUCUCACACCUGUAAGCCCAGGGCAGAUGGCCACACUGGAGCCUUCCCCAUGGACUAAGGGGAAGGAACCCCUCUCUCCCGCCCUGGGCCUGGGAUACAGCCCACUGCCCAGGUCACCGUCUCCUUGACCCUGACCUGCUCUCCACCCUUGUUCUUCUUUCUGGCUGGAAUUCCCCACCCCCGCCCCUUCUGGAGGCCUGUUCAUUCUCAUGCGUCGAUGCCGGCUGCUCACUUUCUUUGUCCACCCCAUCGAAAAUCGGUCCCCUCCCCAGUUCCCUUUACCCCACCAGCUCACUUUCUUCAGAACACUUCCACUGCUGCUCUUCACCAACGGUUGCCCGACUCCUCCACGAGAAUACCAGCUCCAUGAAGGCAGACACCUCGCCUUUCUCCUGCCUUAUUUCUACCAACUGUGCCUUGUAUGGAGGGUGUUUGAUGAAUGACUGAAAUUCUGUUCCAGAAUCAUAUUAAGAAUGAAGCUAGAAGUCAGGAAAACCAGGUUCUGCUCUGCUAAUAAUUUUUAAAUGUCUCUGUUAUUUAUUUAUUUAUUUUUUUAAUUUUCUAGGGCGGCACCCACAGCAUAUGGAAGUUCCCAGGCUAGGGGUCCAAUUGGAGCUGUAGCUGCNCACCUGUGACAUAUGGAGGUUCCCAGGAGAGGGGUGGAAUUGGAGCUGUAGCCCCUGGCCUACGCCACAGCCACAGCAACUCGGGAUCCGAGCUGCAUCUGCACCCUACACCACAGCUCACAGCAACACCAGAUCCUUAACCCACUGAGCGAGGCCGGAGAUCAAACCUGUACCCUCAUGGAUGCUAGUCAGAUUUGUUUCUGCUGAGCCAGGACAGGAACUCCCGGGCAUGUGUCUUAACACGGGUAGUGCUGAGAAUGGGGGGAGGGGGGACAAGGAGAGCAGCUGCGUAUCUCACACCUGUAAGCCCAGGGCAGAUGGCCACACUGGAGCCUUCCCCAUGGACUAAGGGGAAGGAACCCCUCUCUCCCGCCCUGGGCCUGGGAUACAGCCCACUGCCCAGGUCACCGUCUCCUUGACCCUGACCUGCUCUCCACCCUUGUUCUUCUUUCUGGCUGGAAUUCCCCACCCCCGCCCCUUCUGGAGGCCUGUUCAUUCUCAUGCGUCGAUGCCGGCUGCUCACUUUCUUUGUCCACCCCAUCGAAAAUCGGUCCCCUCCCCAGUUCCCUUUACCCCACCAGCUCACUUUCUUCAGAACACUUCCACUGCUGCUCUUCACCAACGGUUGCCCGACUCCUCCACGAGAAUACCAGCUCCAUGAAGGCAGACACCUCGCCUUUCUCCUGCCUUAUUUCUACCAACUGUGCCUUGUAUGGAGGGUGUUUGAUGAAUGACUGAAAUUCUGUUCCAGAAUCAUAUUAAGAAUGAAGCUAGAAGUCAGGAAAACCAGGUUCUGCUCUGCUAAUAAUUUUUAAAUGUCUCUUUUAUUUAUUUAUUUAUUUUUUUAAUUUUCUAGGGCGGCACCCACAGCAUAUGGAAGUUCCCAGGCUAGGGGUCCAAUUGGAGCUGUAGCUGCUGGCCUACACCACAGCCACAGCAGCUCGGGGUCCGAGCUGUGUCUGCGACCUACACCAGAGCUCACAACAACGCCGGAUCCCCAACCCACUGAGUGAGGUCAGGGAACAAACCCACAACCUCAUGGUUCCUUGUCGGAUUCGUUAACCACUGAGCCACGCCGGGAACUCCUAAAGAGUUCUUUUACAGAAAGAGAAAUGAAGUCCCUGGAGCUCUGUGUGAACUGCUGACGGUCCCAGAAGGCAGUGGUGACAAGAGGAAGUAGACUCAAAAAGGGCCUGGGGGUCGCAGGGCUCUGGGCUUUGCUAAACAUGUUGGUAUCUCCCCGGACUCCAGCUGAUAGGGCCAUUGCCCUAUGCUAACCUCAGUGGCAGCCAAUUAAAGACAUGUGGUAGGUGCACAGAGCUUUACAGGUGACAAGGAGCAUUUGCCACCUUAGUCCAGUUGGAGCCUUAUUCCAGCCCUCGAUGCUAGGACGGGGGUCCUACAGUGAAUAUUCCAUUUCAUAGAAAGCAACCAGGCACAGAUUAGUAAACAAAGCUCCAAGCAGAGGCUCAGAAAUUCUAACUGCUCUGCAAGCUGAGGGAGGUCCCCCUCAAAAGAAGAAGUCAGGUCAGUGUAAAGGGGCCGCCGCCCUCUUUGCCUUUGGAAAAGUGCUUCAACCGCAAAGAAGUCAACCACGAACUCCAAGGAGAACAGAAAGGAAAGCAGUUGCUAUGGCAACAUCUCUGCCAGCCUAUUUUCCAUCUUCCUCUGGUUCAAAACAACAGCUUCCAGCAGGUUCCGGCUGGGGGUGGGGAGCUAACUCCAGCCCAGCAACUACCCUUGGCCAAUCUCCUGCCAGAUUUCAGUGGCAAGAGGAAGGUGGCAGCCAAUGAAGAGGCCUGGAGCUUGUGUCAUGGGCCUGAAGCCAGAGUGGAAGAACCACGGGCUAGUGCAUGUGACUGUUUCCAUGGUGACCUCAGCUAGCAACCGCAAUGGUCCUGUUUAUGAGCGCUGGAAAAUUCCAUCCAGCCUCUGGCCUGAGUGUGUUACCUUCCCUGCCUCCUUCCUGCGCCAAGGCAAAGAUGAAGUCAUCGCCACUGUCUAACCCCUUCCUGAGAUGUGCCUGGCUCCAGUCAGAUCUGGGGGAGGGGCAGGAAGGGGGCUGCGUGUGUAGGACAGGAAGGGGACGGGAAGGGAAGGCAGUGACAGCCACCUUUCUAUGGCACAUCAUUUGAGCCAGCACUGUACUAAGUUCCUGACGUGGGAACUUAGCCCUGAGAAGGGGGUCCUGUUUCACUGAGGGGUAAACCUGAUUCAGAGAAAUGAAGUAACUUGCUACCAUCUCUGAGUAUAGCCAGCAAGGGGAGGGACGAGCCCAGACUGACCGAGAGUGGGGCUCUCAAGCCCACGCUCACCACGGCCCCUCCAGAGUGCGUGAAGGGCUACAGAACCAGAUGGGGUGGUGACAGGGACAGGGCGCCGGGGUGGGGGGAGAGCCACGGUCUACUGGGGAGCUGAAGGAAGGUGACAGGUCAGCUGAGUGGAAGAACAGGAAGGAGAUAACAGCUUGGCUCUGGGACACCCAUGAUGCCAGGCUGGGGCCGAG